rnacentral:rRNA from 1 species
AACGAACGCUGGCGGCAUGCCUAACACAUGCAAGUCGAACGAGACCUUCGGGUCUAGUGGCGCACGGGUGCGUAACGCGUGGGAACCUGCCCUUAGGUUCGGAAUAACUCCCCGAAAGGGGUGCUAAUACCGGAUAAUGUCUUCGGACCAAAGAUUUAUCGCCUUUGGAUGGGCCCGCGUUGGAUUAGCUAGUUGGUAGGGUAAAAGCCUACCAAGGCGACGAUCCAUAGCUGGUCUGAGAGGAUGAUCAGCCACACUGGGACUGAGACACGGCACAGACUACUACGGGAGGCUGCAGAGGGGAAUAUUGGAAAAUGGGCGAAAGGCUGAUCCAGCAAUGACGCGUGAGUGAUGAAGGCCUUAGGGUUGUAAAGCUCUUUUACCAGGGAUGAUAAUGACAGUACCGGGAGAAUAAGCACCGGCUAACUCCGUG